GAUGGUCGCUGGUUCCUUCGGGAGUCAGAGGAAAGUCCGGACACCACAAGGUAGCGUGCCCGAUGAAAAUCGGGGAGGCCCCGUGUAAUGCGGGAUCGACGGAUAGUGUCGCAGAAAAUAAACCGCCUUUCGCUGCUUCGGCGGAGAAGGGUAAGGGUGAAAUGGCGAGGUAAGAGCUCACCGCCCCGAGGGUGACUGAGGGGGUCAGGAAAAACCCCGCGCGGUGCAAGACAUAACAGAACAAACGGGUUGCCUGCCCGGCCCGGGAACUUCGGUUUCCGGAUGAGUUCGGGUAUUAGUCGCAUCCUGCUUCGGCAGGAAGCGGAGCGUCGGCAGGUCCGGCGAGCCGUUAGAAAAAUGAUCGUCCGCCCCAAUGUUUCGUGCAGCGGGGUGAACAGAAUCCGGCUUACGG
rnacentral:RNase_P_RNA from 1 species